AGUGAACGCUGGCGGUAGGCCUAACACAUGCAAGUCGAACGGCAGCACAGUAAGAGCUUGCUCUUACGGGUGGCGAGUGGCGGACGAGUGAGGAAUACAUCGGAAUCUACUUUUUCGUGGGGGAUAACGUAGGGAAACUUACGCUAAUACCGCAUACGACCUACGGGUGAAAGCAGGGGAUCUUCGGACCUUGCGCGAUUGAAUGAGCCGAUGUCGGAUUAGCUAGUUGGCGGGGUAAAGGCCCACCAAGGCGACGAUCCGUAGCUGGUCUGAGAGGAUGAUCAGCCACACUGGAACUGAAACACGGUCCAGACUCCUACGGGAGGCAGCAGUGGGGAAUAUUGAACAAUGGGCGCAAGCCUGAUCCAGCCAUACCGCGUGGGUGAAGAAGGCCUUCGGGUUGUAAAGCCCUUUUGUUGGGAAAGAAAAGCAGCAGGUUAAUACCCCGCUGUUCUGACGGUACCCAAAGAAUAAGCACCGGCUAACUUCGUG
rnacentral:rRNA from 1 species